rnacentral:rRNA from 1 species
GCGAAAAGAACCCCGGCGAGGGGAGUGAAAAAGAACCUGAAACCGUGUACGUACAAGCAGUGGGAGCACGCUUAGGCGUGUGACUGCGUACCUUUUGUAUAAUGGGUCAGCGACUUAUAUUCUGUAGCAAGGUUAACCGAAUAGGGGAGCCGAAGGGAAACCGAGUCUUAACUGGGCGUUAAGUUGCAGGGUAUAGACCCGAAACCCGGUGAUCUAGCCAUGGGCAGGUUGAAGGUUGGGUAACACUAACUGGAGGACCGAACCGACUAAUGUUGAAAAAUUAGCGGAUGACUUGUGGCUGGGGGUGAAAGGCCAAUCAAACCGGGAGAUAGCUGGUUCUCCCCGAAAGCUAUUUAGGUAGCGCCUCGUGAAUUCAUCUCCGGGGGUAGAGCACUGUUUCGGCAAGGGGGUCAUCCCGACUUACCAACCCGAUGCAAACUGCGAAUACCGGAGAAUGUUAUCACGGGAGACACACGGCGGGUGCUAACGUCCGUCGUGAAGAGGGAAACAACCCAGACCGCCAGCUAAGGUCCCAAAGUCAUGGUUAAGUGGGAAACGAUGUGGGAAGGCCCAGACAGCCAGGAUGUUGGCUUAGAAGCAGCCAUCAUUUAAAGAAAGCGUAAUAGCUCACUGGUCGAGUCGGCCUGCGCGGAAGAUGUAACGGGGCUAAACCAUGCACCGAAGCUGCGGCAGCGACGCUGAUGCGUUGUUGGGUAGGGGAGCGUUCUGUAAGCCUGUGAAGGUGUGC